CAUAUAUUGUAUGAGUGACGCUUAGAACGCGCUUCGUAAAAGUAUCGUCUGAUUAUGAAUUGGAACCAAAACCAACCGCGCCGCCGCUUUGGCUUACGUCAUCGUCCAAACAGUCGAUAGGCAGGCAGCAUACAAAGCGCACACACACACACACACACACUCACUCACACGUAUGUAGCGUAAGUUUAACGAUAAAAGGCAUUUCGUAUUGGGGGAGCAGCGAAGCUUUCCAAAACACAUACGAAAGUCACACAACAAAACCGUUGAUGAAGCAACAGCAAAAAAAAAAAAAAAUGCCAAAAAAAAAAUAAAAUACUCAGCUUGAGUUUCGUUUCGUUUAAAAAUAGCGGGAGUCGCUGUACGUUAAAUGUGUGGAACAGAGAUGGAACUAGGCAAAUUUUUCGUCUUUGCUUUGAACUCAUUAACAAAACGUAUUGAAGAUUAAACGUUUUUUUUUUUUUUUUAGAGCUUCUCUAACAUAAAUUGCAAAGCUAAACAGAACAAGUUUCGGGCAAAAUUUAUAAAAAAAAAUUGCCGGCAAAAUGCACAAUGAAAGAAACAACACAACAAAUAAUAAAAAUCAUGAGUAUGCAAAAGCUGCAUGGCUUUUGUGCAACUGAAAGGAGAAGGGGCUGAACUAAACGUCAAUCACUUGACAAAAGCGUGGAAAAAUGAGCGCAAAAACUAACAACUAACGGGGCACAGAUGACAGGCACAGACGAAAUCCACUACUAAAUGAGAAUGUGUAUAAUGAAAACGAAUUUCAAAUUUGGGGUGUGCCGUUACAUUUUAAAAAGCAUUGUAAAUUUCCAUUAUUGAAAUAUUCCUUUGCAGCUAUUCAACAAUUUAAGGCUUAAAGCCAGUGACCAACUUAAAAACAAAAAAAAAAAAAAAACAAACAAAAAUAAAAUAUGACGUCAACAGUGUUGUCAUUGCAGUGCAAACUGUGAUUUCACACACAGAUAUGUACACACAUACAUAAGUAUUUACAGCCCUUGGUUCGCUCGGGCAAUUGUCUAAUUAGAUUCGAAUUAAGCGCAUAUAGAAGCGUUUGUAUGGGGGCUUGUGCCCAAAAAUUAUGAAGCACACACAUAGAAAUGUUAACGUAAAGAAGCCAUUUAUUGCUGGCCAUGGCUUAAAAAUCAUAAUUAAUCGAAUUUAGAACACCGCUAGCUAAACACUAUGGCUAUGAACUGAAUAGAAGAGCCGGUUUCGCUUCUUCAUUUUUGUAUUAUUACUCGUGUGCUUUCUCAGCGACAAAACAUAUCACUCUUUAGAUUUUGUCUUCUGUGUUUUGAGACACACAAGAUAUGCUAAUGUAGAAUGCCAGGUAAGUAUGCAUGUUUGUGCCCCGUUUCGAUAAGACAACGCAACGAGCAAAGAUUUUGAAAGGUGAAUGAAUUUGGUCACACAGAUAACAAGACUUUAGAAUGUACGAAAACUAAAAAGUAACACAAACGCCUAUAAAAAUAUAUAAAGCAAAUUGAAAUUUUGAACAAAA